UACGGAGGGUGCGAGCGUUGUCCGGAAUCACUGGGCGUAAAGGGCGCGUAGGCGGCCUGAUAAGUAGGGGGUGAAACCCUGCGGCUUAACCGCAGGGCUGCCUUCUAAACUGUCAGGCUAGAGCACAGUAGAGGCAGGUGGGAUUCCCGGUGUAGCGGUGGAAUGCGUAGAGAUCGGGAAGAACAUCAGUGGCGAAGGCGGCCUGCUGGGCUGUUGCUGACGCUGAGGCGCGACAGCGUGGGGAGCAAACAGG
rnacentral:rRNA from 1 species